GACUGGUUGAGAAGAAUAAGAAAGACCUAUUGAAUUGAAGCAUCUUAAUAAAUAGAGGAAAAGAAAAUAAGAAUGAUAUCGUUGGUAACGGCGAGUGAAAAGGAUAGGAGCCCAAAGACAGGAGACCGCUGUGUGGUUUAGGCAUGGUGGUGAUUCGUGGUGGGUGUAGCUUUGUGGGACAUUGUGUGGGACGUGCUGGGAAGUGCUUGGGGAAAAGGACAGGAUAGAUGGUGAUACUCCAGUAGUUGGGACGUGGGACACAGUGGGUGGACAUGGAGCUUGUGGAGUCAUAUUGCUUGAGAGUGCAAUAUAAAGGUGGUGGUAUAUUCCAUGGGAGGCUAAAUAGAGGUGAGAAGCCGAUAGCAAACAAGUACUGUGAAGGAAAGUUGGCAAGAACUUUGGAAAAAGAGUUGGAAGAGCCUGAAGUUGUGUUGGUGGAAGCAAUUGACUGUAGGACUAGUUGGCAAGUGUUGUGGUGCAUGGUGUCAGUGAUGGCAGUGUGUGUGGCACAGUGUUUGCUUUGUGGCUGUGAUGGAUAGACUGUGGUGGAAAGGACUGAUGGCAGAUAGUCACUGUGUGUCACUUUGUGGUGGAUGGUGAAGUAUGGCUGUUGGUUAAUGUAGCUGUGGUGUAUCAGUGAUGGUUAGGAUAUGGUGAAUUGACCCGUCUUGAAACACGGACCAAGGAGUCUCAUUUAUUUGUGAAGAUAAGGAGUUUGUGACAUUGGUGUAUCUGGAAUGAAGAUGAAUUUAGUGAAUAUGAAAGUGCUUUUAGUUUACGGAGCACAGGCAAUAUUGAUUUACCCUGUGGAAUGGCAUGGGGACUAAAUUGGAAUGAAUAGAUGAGGACCCGAAAGAUGGUGAACUAUACUUGGAGAGAAAGAAGUCAGGGGAAACUCUGAUGGAAGUUCGUAGCAGUGCUAACGUGCAAAUUGCUUGUGGGAACUGAGUAUAGGGGCGAAAGACUCAUCGAACCAUCUAGUAGCUGGUUCCCUCCGAAUUUUCCCUCAGGAUUGCAGUCAUUUGGUGUUAGUUAUAUCAAGUAAAGAUAAUGAUUAGAAGGUUGUGGUCUUUGUGUGUUUUCUUUUUUAGGGGCAUGCAGCCACAAGCAAGGGGACAAGAAUGGUUCUUUUCUUAUUCUCAAACUUAGAAGUGGUAUAGACAAUGCUGGACUCAUGGUCUUAAGACAAUGGAUGGGUCUGGUGGGAAAUAGAGCAAGUGAUUAGUGGGCCUAAUCUGGUAAGCAGAAGAGGCGAUGUGGGAUGAACCAAAGGAGAAGUUAAGGGGUCAAAGGUGGGGCACACAAGGACGCCAGAAAGGGAGUUGAUUGAUGGAGACAGCAGGACGGUGGCCACGGAAGUUGGAUGACCCGCCAAGAAGUGUGUAACAACUUACCUGCCGAAUUGAUGAGUCCCGAAAAUGGAUGACGCUUCAGUGCCUAUCAUCAAUUGUGCCCAAUACUUUUCUAUCAUGACGACGAUGCUUUUUGCUUUUGGGAGCGAUGGAUAGUUGUGAUAAGUAGGAGGAAGCGCAUGGGGAGUGUGGAAGCUGUGUGGGAAGACCCAGUGUGGAACAACCUGUGGUGCAGAUCUUGGUGGUAGUAGCAAUUACUCGAGUGAGACGCUUGAGGACCAAAGUGGAGAAGGGUUUCAAGGGAAUGGCAAGCAGCCAAGAGUUAGUCGGUGCUGAAGAGUAGGGGCAACCCGUGGGAAUAGCAGUGGCCUUUUUGUAGGUGAUGCUGGACUCUGAAAGGGAAAUGUGUUAAGAAUGACAUACCUUGGGUUCGUAUUUGGGUGACACGAUGUGUGAUGCUGGCAGGUGCUGUGCAGUGAUGUGUGGUGGUUGUUGGUGUUGGAUGUGGUGUGGCCUGGUGAUGGAUGGCAACAUGAGGGAAUUCCGCGACAGCAGUCACCAUUUCCGUAAAAGUUAUCUUUUGUUAAUAAUCCACGAUUUGUUUGUGUAUUCACUUUUGUUGCUUUUGUGAUGGAAGUGAAGGACGACAUAGAGGGAGUGCCAAGAAAGUGAAUGGAUUGGAGCAGUGGCAGGAAGUGGAGAAUAGCAUGGUGGUCAGGCAGUGGUGACAUUGCCAUGGUAGUGGUGGAAGAAUGGUUGUGAUUGCGACGUGAAAAGCGGGAGGAGCAGAGCUGGUGGCUUGUGUGCUUUUGUGGUGCGUGAGUGACACUGGUGGUGGAUAAAGAAGCAAGACCGUACCGAAGACCGCAACAGGUCUCCGAGGUUAGAAGCCUUUGGUGGAAUAGAAGAAAGUAGGUAAGGGAAGUCGGCAAAUUAGUACCGUAAGUUUGCAAGAAGGUAUGGCUCCAAAUUUGUGAGUGUGUGUUGUGUUUAGGUGUGGCUGUUGUGGCUGGUGAUUCGGCUGUGGUGGUUGUGCUUGUUUGUGUCAAUUUGGCACAGAACACAGACACAGGAAAAGUUUGGAACUGAUAGAAAUCCGGGGAUUUGGACUGUAUAAUAAAAACAAAGCAUUGUGAUGGUGUAGACAAGCGUGUAGACACAAUGUGAAUUCUGCCCAGUGCUGAGAAUGUCAAAGUGAAGAGAUUUAAGGAAGCACGGGUUAACGGCGGGAGUAACUAUGACUCUCUUAAGGUAGCCAAAUGCCUCGUCAUCUAAUUAGUGACGCGCAUGAAUGGAUGAACCAAAAUCCCACUGUCCCUAUGUACUAUCUAGCGAAACCACAGCCAAGGGAACGGGCUUGGCAACAUCAGCGGGGAAAGAAGACCCUGUUGAGCUUGACUCUAGUCUGACUUUGUCAUAUGACUCUCCAAGUGUAGAAUAAGUGGGAGUUGGAUGUGUGGCUUUCAGUGAUGGAUGUUGUGUGUUCAGCGGCUGUGAAAUACCACUAUUGGAGAAGUUGUUUUACUUAGUUAUUUAAGCGUGGAGUGGGAUGAGAAUGGUUUGUGUGGCUGUUGUGGUUGCAUAGGCGUUCUCGUGUAUCCCAUGAGUGCGGUGAUUUUGUACACUGUGUGGCAUUCAGCAAUGGGUGUUGUGUGGUGGUGACGAAAUAGCGAAGGAAGUUAGAUAGGGAGUUUGGCUGGGGCGGCACAUCUGUUACAUAAGAACGCAGGUGUCCAAAGAGUAGCUCAAGGAGAACAGAAAUCUCGAGUGGAAUAUAAGGGUAAAAGCUACUUUGAAUUUCAAGGUUUUCAGUAAGAAUCGGAACGGUGAAAGCGUGGCCUAGCGAUCCCUAAUGACACACUGUGUGGUUGUACUAGUGCACAGUGAUGGGUUUGUCUUUAGAAUAUAAAGCUUGGGGUGUCAGAAAAGUUACCACAGGGAUAACUGGCUUGUGGCUGCCAAGCGUUCAUAGCGACGCAGCUUUUUGAUCCUUCGAUGUCGGCUCUUCCUAUCAUUGAGAAGCAGAAUUCUCAAAGUGUCGGAUUGUUCACCCGCUAACAGGGAACGUGAGCUGGGUUUAGACCGUCGUGAGACAGGUUAGUUUUACCCUCCUGAUAAGUUAUCAUGGGAAAUCAUCAUCAGAGUAAUUCAACCAAGUACGAGAGGAACCGUAGAAUCAUAUCAAUGGCGUGACCGUGUUGCUGGACAGCAAGUGAUGGGAUGCUACCAUAUGAGAGAUAAUGGCUGAAAGCCUCUUAAGCCAGAAUCUCUGCUUGUGACAAGUUGAUGAUUUGUGGGUUGUGUUGCAGCAGUGAUGUUGUGGUGUGGCCUAGUUGUGAGUGCAACUUAGUUGUGCUUGUCUAUCUAUGUAUUUUGGUUUUAGCAGCUGAUGGAAAAGACUGUUUA
rnacentral:rRNA from 1 species